UGGGGAAUAUUGCACAAUGGGCGCAAGCCUGAUGCAGCCAUGCCGCGUGUGUGAAGAAGGCCUUCGGGUUGUAAAGCACUUUCAGUCGUGAGGAAGGUAGUGUAGUUAAUAGCUGCAUUAUUUGACGUUAGCGACAGAAGAAGCACCGGCUAACUCCGUGCCAGCAGCCGCGGUAAUACGGAGGGUGCGAGCGUUAAUCGGAAUUACUGGGCGUAAAGCGCAUGCAGGUGGUUUGUUAAAGUCAGAUGUGAAAAGCCCGGGGCUCAACCUCGGAAUAGCAUUUGAAACUGGCAGACUAGAGUACUGUAGAGGGGGGUAGAAGUUUCAGGUGUAGCGGUGAAAUGCGUAGAGAUCUGAAGGAAUACCGGUGGCGAAGGCGGCCCCCUGGACAGAUACUGACACUCAGAUGCGAAAAGCGUGGGGAGCAAAACAGGAUUAGAUACCCUGGUAGUCCACGCCGUAAACGAUGUCUACUUGGAGGUUGUGGCCUUGAGCCGUGGCUUUCGGAGCUAACGCGUUAAGUAGACCGCCUGGGAGUACGGUCGCAAGAUUAAAAGCU
rnacentral:rRNA from 1 species